rnacentral:rRNA from 1 species
UUGAACGCUGGCGGCAUGCUUUACACAUGCAAGUCGAACGGCAGCGCGGGGCAACCUGGCGGCGAGUGGCGAACGGGUGAGUAAUAUAUCGGAACGUACCCAAGAGUGGGGGAUAACGUAGCGAAAGUUACGCUAAUACCGCAUACGAUCUAAGGAUGAAAGCAGGGGACCGCAAGGCCUUGUGCUCCUGGAGCGGCCGAUAUCUGAUUAGCUAGUUGGUGAGGUAAAGGCUCACCAAGGCGACGAUCAGUAGCUGGUCUGAGAGGACGACCAGCCACACUGGAACUGAGACACGGUCCAGACUCCUACGGGAGGCAGCAGUGGGGAAUUUUGGACAAUGGGCGCAAGCCUGAUCCAGCAAUGCCGCGUGAGUGAAGAAGGCCUUCGGGUUGUAAAGCUCUUUUGUCAGGGAAGAAACGGUGCGGGCUAAUAUCCCGUGCUAAUGACGGUACCUGAAGAAUAAGCACCGGCUAACUACGU